UGGCAAAGUCAGGCUGUAUUACACAACUGUCUGUACGGGAGCAACGCACUGUGCGGGAGAGCCAGCUCUCUCGGAGGAUGAGGUGGAACGGUUAGUGAUCUCUCUCUGCAGCUCCUCCACUUUCUUCUGCAGCUCAGCACGCUUAGCAAGAAGCUCCUUGUAGCGAUUGUGGACGGGUUCCUGCAAGAAAACAUGCUGCUGAGUGCUGGGAGACACAGCACACUGGCACACAACUAUGAGGGAAGGAGAUAAGACUGGGUCUGAAUGGACACAUCUAUAGGCUCCUCCCUUGGCAAAUAACCCUCUACCAGACUGCAGGGCAGAGCUGGCUGGUGGCCAGCAUCCUUCCUGAUACUCCUUUGUCCUCUCCCAGAAUAACGCAAGCACAGCAAGAGCACGCAGCAAGUAGCUGGUCUCAGUGCAACCUAUGUGUGAAGAAUGACAACACACACUUGGUAGUUACAGCAACCUGACAGGACCACCUCAUGGAGAAGGGAGGACAAAAAGGUGCCACUUCCCACACAGAAGGUUACAUUAAACUCAAGUUCAAAGCACAUAUGCAAUUCCAGCUGCCUGGGAGACACCAGGGAGUAGCUGAAAGCCAUGCAGUGGGGCUGGCAGAAGGAAAUGUCAUUGCUCUGAAAUGUAAAGUCUCCAGCAGAGAGCAGUUUGUGCAGAGUGAAAUACUCCAUCUCCCUGCUCUCAAGAGGGGGCUGUGCCAUUACCCAGAGUGCUGUAACAGCAUCUCUGGCAACAUCUGGCCAACUAAAGCAAUCACAGUACCAGGCCUUGACUGUGAAGAGAAGCUGUCUUACCUCCUUCACUCUCUGCUGCUCACUGCUGCACAGGAAGGUCCCAAACAAACAGCUGUACAGGUGAUCCAGAAUGGUUAUCAAGAAGUACUCAUUGAACUCAAAUGCUGUAGGAAACUUCAGACAGACCAGAAAAUUAGAUUGGGAUUUUAGAACAGGAAACACAAACUUUCUUCCUCUCUGUGGUCUUGGUAAGGAAUUGGAUUAUCUUCUUGAUUUCUAAACCAGGAUUUUUCCCUGUUCCUUGCCUGUCUGGAUAUUUAGGAUCAUAUUUGCUCCUUCCAGAUGCAAGAGUUUCUGUCUUGGAGAGCUUGGAGGAAUUUUGAGCAAAAGCCAGAGGUCUGAAGGAUUUGACCACUGUGUUUAUACACACUUAGUGCUGGAAGCUUGCUCUGUUAUGUGUGACCCCCAUGACAGAUCACGCAAUAAGACCACAAACAAAAGGCUGAAGCACAUGUGAGAUCAUGCAUAAAAAGAAAUGGCAAUCUCCCCAGGCCAAAUGGAAAUAACCUGUGUGUGUAACACACACAGCAUGUCCCAGAGGGAACAGCAGAGAGGAACCUUGCAACACAGGGCAGCAGCAGGAACAGGUGUUUUUGUAGGGGCUGUUUGCUGUUGCUGUUCCGUGCAGAAAAGAUCAGAACUAAGAGUGGGAGAACUGAACUCCACAAAGGGUGAGUAAGAACACAUGCAGUGAACUAGAGAGACAUGCUGGGGCACUGGAGAGGACAGUGGGAGGCUUUCCUCCCUCACAAACCAUUCUUCUCUUCCCAGGCUGCUUUGGCUGUAAUAUCCUGACCUCACCAGCUGCAGGUCAGGAUGCCUGCUUGCAGGAGCACAAUAAAAAUUACUUCUGAUGAUGACAAA